ensembl:lncRNA
CUCCCACAUCUCCUUUAAGUGACCCUGUCUCAGUCACUGUUCAGGAAACCGAAACAGCUGUGCAAUUUUGGCAGGGAGCAGUGGGUGUGGCUUCUGGAGUGGCCGUGUUCCUGAUGGGAUUGACAGCUGUCUAUCUCUGCAGAAGGACCAGUGAUUUGGUGAUGGGAGCAGUGAGCAGUGCAGGCAUGUUGGAUUCAAGGGAUGCUGGGAUCUAUUCUCCCAUCACCACUGUACCGUCCACGUUCUUGCCCUCAGGCCCUGUUGAAGAAAAUGGAAUGUCACCUGAAAACGACAAUUCUGAUACGUACCACAUAUACAGCUCAAUCCCUGACAGACCAGCAACCUCAGCCCAGCCGGAUGGGUUGUACAGUCUGCAGACACACUGACACUACACCACUGGCUUUGUGUAGCUAUGUCUCAAACAUCUCACACAAAUACCCUCU